AAAAAAAAAAUUCUGAGGAAAGAUAUUUCUGCCUGGGGUGUGGUUCAGUAAGGAGACCACUUACCUCACAUACACAGGGUCCUAGAUUCCAUUCCCAGCACCACAAGAAAAGUUGUGAGGCAUACUGGGCUUUUUAAUCAGGAUUUUCUUUCUCUACAGUUGAAGGAUGAAAAUUCUAAGCUAAGAAGAAAGCUGAAUGAGGUUCAGAGCUUCUCUGAAAGCCAAACAGAAAUGGUGAGGACGCUUGAGCGGAAGUUGGAGGCAAAGAUGAUCAAGGAGGAGAGUGACUUCCAUGACCUGGAGUCAGUGGUCCAGCAAGUAGAACAGAACCUUGAGCUGAUGACGAAACGAGCUGUAAAGGCAGAAAAUCAUGUCAUGAAGCUAAAGCAAGAAAUAAGCUUGCUCCAGGUAAUCAGA